rnacentral:rRNA from 1 species
UAGGGAAUAUUGGGCAAUGGAGGGAACUCUGACCCAGCCAUGCCGCGUGCAGGAUGAAGGCGUUAUGCGUUGUAAACUGCUUUUUAUAUAGGAAGAAAUAGUCCUUGCGAGGAAAGUUGACGGUACUAUAUGAAUAAGCACCGGCUAACUCCGUGCCAGCAGCCGCGGUAAUACGGAGGGUGCAAGCGUUGUCCGGAUUUAUUGGGUUUAAAGGUGCGUAGGCGGUUUAUUAAGUCAGUGGUGAAAGACGGUCGCUCAACGAUUGCAGUGCCAUUGAUACUGGUAGACUUGAGUAUGAUUGAGGUAGCUGGAAUGGAUAGUGUAGCGGUGAAAUGCAUAGAUAUUAUCCAGAACACCAAUUGCGUAGGCAAGUUACUAAGUCAUAACUGACGCUGAGGCACGAAAGUGUGGGUAUCAAACAGGAUUAGAUACCCAAGUAGUCCCUGAGCGGGCUGGCAAGGCGCAU